rnacentral:rRNA from 1 species
GAUGAACGCUGGCGGCGUGCCUAAUACAUGCAAGUCGAGCGAACCACUUCGGUGGUGAGCGGCGAACGGGUGAGUAACACGUAGGUGAUCUGCCCAUCAGACGGGGACAACGAUUGGAAACGAUCGCUAAUACCGGAUAGGACGAAAGUUUAAAGGUGCUUCUGGCACCGCUGAUGGAUGAGCCUGCGGCGCAUUAGCUAGUCGGUAGGGUAAAGGCCUACCAAGGCGACGAUGCGUAGCCGACCUGAGAGGGUGAACGGCCACACUGGGACUGAGACACGGCCCGGAGUCAUACGGGAGGCAGCAGUAGGGAAUCUUCGGCAAUGGGCGAAAGCCUGACCGAGCAACGCCGCGUGAAUGAUGAAGGCCUUCGGGUUGUAAAAUUCUGUUAUAAGGGAAGAACGACUUUAGUAGGAAAUGGCUAGAGUGUGACGGUACCUUAUGAGAAAGCCACGGCUAACUACGUGCCAGCAGCCGCAGUAA